CAGGUUGUGUCGUGUUUCUUAGAUUUGAUUUUAUUAUGUUUACUUUGAGCUUUGGUAAGAGGUUGGUUUCGCGAGGUGCAGAUGCCCUUCCUUUCCACAUUUUCUAGUGUUUGUAAUUCAGUGGUUUCUGCCUAUUAUGAACCAUCUUCUUAUCUGAAUUGUGGUUAAGAUGAUAUCACUGAACCUGGAGUUGUCAUUAAGGCAUUAGCCUUAUUGUUUGAGUUGCACAUAUACAGUGCCUGCCAGUUUCUUCUUGUUAUGAAUCGUCUUAUCUGAAUUGUGGUCAGAUGAUAUCACUGAACCUGGAUGAUAGUUCUGCAUUUUCUUGAUGUUGCAGUUAUAUGAGUUGUCAUUAAGGCAUUAGCCUUAUUGUUUGAGUUGCACAUAUACAGUACCUGCCAGUUUCUUCUUAUUAUGAACCGUCAUCUUAUCUGAAUUGUGGUCGGAUGAUAUCACUGAACCUGGAUGAUAGUUAUGCAUUUCUUGAUGUUGCAGAUAUAUGAACUGUCAUUAAGGCAUUAGCCUUAUUGUGUAAGUUGCACUUAUACAGUGUACUUUUUAGCUGAUUAAAAAGAUACCGUACAAUUUGAAUGCCUUAAUAAUAUGAUUCAGCCAUAUAGCCAUAGAAUGCAUGACUGAUACUAAUUGUGCUUCUUUCCAGUUGCAUCAUUUCCUAGUCUCUGUAUUGCAAAUGUGUAAAAUGUUUCCUGUUUGCUAGCAACCCUGGAGUUUGUAUGGACUGUUUUCCAUGAUAAGAUGAAUUCAAGAUAUGUUCGGAUUAUUUUCUGAUUUACUUAUGGGUACAUGCAGUGGU
rnacentral:lncRNA from 1 species